UCCCAGCCCAGUCAGGAAUACAAACGUCGUGAUGAUCCCAGCUGGCUGGAGGGUCAGGAGGCUGAGGCUGGAUAGCCAGAGGAUGCAGCACUCUGCAGGGAGCAGCGGCUGCUCAGAGGAGCCUCUUUGCCUGGACUGCAUUUGCUACAUGGCUGCAUCCUUUUCUGAGCCCCCACUGACUCUGGGAGGGAAGAAACGAGCCCUUUGCAACUUAUAUACCUAUAGUUGGUGUGGAGCAGCAGAGGCACACCUGAAACCAGAAGAAUAAAGAUCCCACUCCAGUAUUUGAGCCUCAA